rnacentral:rRNA from 1 species
CACGUAGGGGCCAAGCGUUGUCCGGAUUUAUUGGGCGUAAAGAGCUCGUAGGCGGCUCGGUAAGUCGGGUGUGAAACCUCCAGGCUCAACCUGGAGACGCCACCCGAUACUGCUGUGGCUAGAGUCCGGUAGGGGAGCGUGGAAUUCCUGGUGUAGCGGUGAAAUGCGCAGAUAUCAGGAGGAACACCAGCGGCGAAGGCGGCGCUCUGGGCCGAUACUGACGCUGAGGAGCGAAAGCGUGGGGAGCAAACAGG